UGAAAAUGCGCCAGGCCUUGCUGAAG
rnacentral:piRNA from 1 species